GAGUGCACAUCAAACUGCAAAAGCCUUUGGAAGUAAGCUAUUUGGGUCUACGAUUUGAAGCGUUAAACCCGUAGCCUUACUAUCCGGAAGCGUGCAGGAUGUGUCGAUCG
rnacentral:pre_miRNA from 1 species